rnacentral:rRNA from 1 species
UAAUACGUUAGUGUUUUGACGUUACCGACAGAAUAAGCACCGGCUAACUCUGUGCCAGCAGCCGCGGUAAUACAGAGGGUGCAAGCGUUAAUCGGAAUUACUGGGCGUAAAGCGCGCGUAGGUGGUUUGUUAAGUUGGAUGUGAAAUCCCCGGGCUCAACCUGGGAACUGCAUUCAAAACUGACUGACUAGAGUAUGGUAGAGGGUGGUGGAAUUUCCUGUGUAGCGGUGAAAUGCGUAGAUAUAGG